rnacentral:rRNA from 1 species
UCUACGGGAGGCAGCAGUGGGGAAUAUUGCACAAUGGGCGCAAGUCUGAUGCAGCCAUGCCGCGUGUAUGAAGAAGGCCUUCGGGUUGUAAAGUACUUUCAGCGGGGAGGAAGGCGAUAAGGUUAAUAACCUUGUCGAUUGACGUUACCCGCAGAAGAAGCACCGGCUAACUCUGUGCCAGCAGCCGCGGUAAUA